UUUCCGUAGGUGAACCUGCGGAAGGAUCAUCCAUAAUAAAGUGUUUUAUGGCACUUUUUAAAAAUCCAUAUCCACCUUGUGUGCAAUGUUAGAUCUCGUCAAUCUUGGCGAGAUUUUUAUACAUCAACUCAUUUUUUAACUAAUUUGUCUGAAAAAUAUUAUGAAUACUUAAUUCAAAAUACAGCUUUCAACAACGGAUCUCUUGGCUCUCGCAUCGAUGAAGAACGUAGC
rnacentral:misc_RNA from 1 species